UCUGCGACUUUGGCUCCAGCGUCAACAUUAUGCCCAGGGUACUCUAUGAAAAAUUCUUUACACAUCGUUUACUAGAAACAACCAUGUGUUUGCAGCAUGCAGAUCGGACGCUAAGUUUCCCAAAUGGAAUACUGGCCUUCAUGCCGAGUCUUCCUCCGCCGCCAACUCGACUCGUAACCAAGCCUAACCAAACCUCCAUGCUCACUGGUACUUUGACGUCACUAUAGGUAGGUCUCCGUGGGUCUUGAGUUCGGCAAGACGACUUCGGUUCACACGUGAAAGUGCUUCGAAAGGCACCGGCUCCCAAUGGUGAAAUUCUUGCUGAAAGCACAGCUACGUGCUGGCACUCAAUCAAGUAGUAGCGCUGGCACGUCACUCGGCUCCUCGGCUAUUUCUCCUUAGGCGCAUGUCUCAGCAACACAAAACGAGGGUUUUGCUC
rnacentral:lncRNA from 1 species